UUAUCAACGGAUGACUCUUGCUUUGUUGAUUGUUGUGCUUAAUCAAUAUCCAUACAGUUCAUUCGUCGCGAGGAAAAAAUCUACUUGCUGCCUGAGAACCAAAGCCACAACAGAUCAAGUUACUUGGUCGGAAGAAAUUGUCAAGGGCUGCAGCUUACACAUGAUUGGGAGUGGCGAUCUUAGUCUAUCUCACCUGAGUUACAUGUCAUAAAAAAGUAGUAUAGAUGUAGAACAACCUACAGUAUAAUUGUACGUCUCAACUAUCUGUCAUAUGUCUUACUAACAUACCUUUUUUGAACCGGUCUUAUUAUUAUACUUUUU